rnacentral:rRNA from 1 species
GCGUGGUAGCGGAGCGUAGUGUGAUAUAGCACCACGCCUCUUUAGCAAUUCUUUUGAAUUGCCUUGGAGGCUUAGGUGCUUUCUGUGAAGCCGGGCUGUAAGGCAUCCGGUGGAGAGAUCACUAGUGAGAAUGAUGACAUGAGUAGCGACAAAGAGUGUGAGAGACACUCUCGCCGAAAGUCCAAGGGUUCCUGCUUAAAGCUAAUCUGAGCAGGGUAAGCCGGCCCCUAAGUCGAGGCAGAAAUGCGUAGACGAUGGGAACUAGGUUAAUAUUCCUAGGCCAGGAGGAUGUGACGGAUCAUGAAGGUUGUUCACCCUUAUUGGAUUGGGUGGGCCGCUUAUUGGUUCCUGGAAAUAGCCCUCCAUCAGACCGUACCCUAAACCGACACAGGUGGACUGGUAGAGAAUACCAAGGCGCUUGAGAGAACUAUGUUGAAGGAACUCGGCAAAAUACCUCCGUAAGUUCGCGAGAAGGAGGCCCAGUUCCUAGGCAACUAGGGGCUGGGGGCACAAACCAGGGGGUGGCGACUGUUUACUAAAAACACAGGGCUCUGCGAAGUCGCAAGACGACGUAUAGGGUCUGACGCCUGCCCGGUGCCUGAAGGUUAAAAGGAGGGGUGAGAGCUCUGAAUUGAAGCCCAGGUAAACGGCGGCCGUAACUAUAACGGUCCUAAGGUAGCGAAAUUCCUUGUCGGGUAAGUUCCGACCUGCACGAAUGGCGUAACGACUUCCCCGCUGUCUCCAACAUAGACUCAGCGAAAUUGAAUUGCCUGUCAAGAUGCAGGCUUCCCGCGGUUAGACGGAAAGACCCCGUGCACCUUUACUACAGCUUCGCACUGGCAUCAGGCACAACAUGUGCAGGAUAGGUGGUGGGCUUUGAAGCAGAAACGCCAGUUUCUGUGGAGCCUCCCUUGAGAUACCACCCUUGUUCUGCUUGAUGUCUAACCGCGGUCCGUUAUCCGGAUCCGGGACCCUGCGUGGCGGGUAGUUUGACUGGGGCGGUCGCCUCCCAAAGAGUAACGGAGGCGCGCGAAGGUUGGCUCAGAGCGGUCGGAAAUCGCUCGUUGAGUGCAAUGGCAGAAGCCAGCCUGACUGCGAGACUGACAAGUCGAGCAGAGACGAAAGUCGGCCAUAGUGAUCCGGUGGUCCCGAGUGGAAGGGCCAUCGCUCAACGGAUAAAAGGUACGCCGGGGAUAACAGGCUGAUACUGCCCAAGAGUCCAUAUCGACGGCAGUGUUUGGCACCUCGAUGUCGGCUCAUCUCAUCCUGGGGCUGGAGCAGGUCCCAAGGGUAUGGCUGUUCGCCAUUUAAAGAGGUACGUGAGCUGGGUUUAGAACGUCGUGAGACAGUUCGGUCCCUAUCUGCCGUGGGUGUAGGAUACUUGAGAGGAGUUGCCCCUAGUACGAGAGGACCGGGGUGAACGAUCCACUGGUGGACCUGUUGUUGCGCCAGCAGCAGUGCAGGGUAGCUAUGAUCGGACAGGAUAACCGCUGAAGGCAUCUAAGCGGGAAGCCCCCCUCAAAACAAG